GAUUUCUGGUUAACUAUCCUAGCCCGCUUCCUUCGGGUUGUGAGUGCUGGUAUAACUAACCAUCCUUCCAGAGAGCCGUGAGUACCCUUACGGGGCCGCUCGCGUGCGAUCUGGAUCGUUUACUUUGAAAAAAUUAGAGUGUUUAAAGCAGGCUUACGCCUUGAAUACAUUAGCAUGGAAUAAUAACAUAGGACUUCGGUUCUAUUUUGUUGGUUUCUAGGACCUUAGUAAUGAUUGAUAGGGAUAGUUGGGGGUGCUAGUAUUCAGCGGCCAGAGGUGAAAUUCUUGGAUUCGCUGAAGACUAACUACUGCGAAAGCAUU
rnacentral:rRNA from 2 species